AUACGUAGGGUGCAAGCGUUAAUCGGAAUUACUGGGCGUAAAGCGUGCGCGGGCGGUUUUGUAAGACAGAGGUGAAGUCCCCGGGCUCAACCUGGGAACUGCCUUUGUGACUGCAAGGCUAGAGUACGGCAGAGGGGGAUGGAAUUCCGCGUGUAGCAGUGAAAUGCGUAGAUAUGCGGAGGAACACCGAUGGCGAAGGCAAUCCCCUGGGCCUGUACUGACGCUCAUGCACGAAAGCGUGGGGAGCAAACAGGAUUAGAUACCCUGGUAGUCCACGCCCUAAACGAUGUCAACUGGUUGUUGGGUCUUCAUUGACUCAGUAACGAAGCUAACGCGUGAAGUUGACCGCCUGGGGAGUACGGCCGCAAGGUUAAAACUCAAAGGAAUUGACGGGG
rnacentral:rRNA from 1 species